rnacentral:lncRNA from 15 species
AAAGUUUGUCUGGAAGCUGCUGACGGGGUCAACAGAGGCUGAACUCUGAGGAGAUAUGGAAGUUGUGAUUGGACUGUUGCUGAUGCUACUCGGAGUCUCUCAUGGUGUGGAAACCUACUGUGAUGGCAGAAAGAAUAAUGGAGCUCAGUGUUAUGGAGCUUUGGGAGGAACUGUGGUCCUCCAGCUGAUGGACAGUGCCUCAGAAAUAUUUAGAUACGAAUGGUUAAAGAACAAAACAUCAAUACUCAGAGGGGGUAAGAACAGGGCAGUGUUUAUUCUGAUACCAGACAGAUCUUCAUUUACUCCCACUGAUGGAACAUUUAGGAUCAACAACCUGAGCAGGACUGAUGGAGGUGAAUAUACUCUCAUGAUCUCUGAUUCAAAUGGAAGCAUAUCAGUGCCACAGACUCUACAGUUGAUCAUUCAAGGUAAAAAAUAAUUUUGUCUACAGGGAAAUUUACUAAUAUUCAAAGAAAUACAUGUUAUAUUUUAUUGCCAAAACUAUAUAUAUCUACUGUAUAUAAUGACAAAGAUU